rnacentral:lncRNA from 1 species
GGUCCUUAUCCAUGGGGGCAAGCGUAUGAAGGUCGCCUGGUCCCUAUGUGUCCUUAUUGUCCCUAUAUUUUGUCUCUAUGUGUCCCUAUAUCUCUCUAUGUUUCCCUAUGGGCCCCUAUAGGUCUCUAUGUGUCCCUAUAUCUCUCUAUGGGGUCUCUAUGGGUCUCUAUGGGUCCCUAUAGGUCUCUAUGUAUCCCUAUGGGCCCCUCACCACGAUGGCACAGGCGGGCAGCCCCCUGUGCGCGGCUUGUCGGAGUGUCUCUUUUUAUUGUCCUAUGGGUCCCUAUAGGUCUCUAUGGGUCCCGAUGGGCCGGUUCCCUAUUUAGGUCUCUUAUGGGUCCCUAUAUCUCUCUAUGGGGUCCCUAUAUCGUCUCUAUG